rnacentral:lncRNA from 1 species
GCGGUGACGAAAGACCGGUAUUCGAUGUGGAUGAGGAUUCAGAGGAUCGAAGGACUGCUGUCUGGAUUCUCGAGGGCCAGAACCCUGAGGGGCCCACGGAAGCUGAAGGUCAAAAAUCUUCGGGACCGGAAGAUGGCGUGAACAUGAGAGAAGCUGCUCCUCAAUGCCCAGCGAAGGACAUGAUCUCAGGACAAGCAGCUAAAUCAAGCACAGGAAGCUCCUCAAUGAUGCCUGGUGAUGAUUCAAGUGAUCCUUCUGAAGAUGACACAAGUAGAGAAGCAACGUCAGUGAGCAGUCUAGAUGGCAUCAGCAGUAGAACUUCAUCAGUCAGCGGCUCUGUAUGCAUAAGAUCUACUAAGAAGAGAAUGAGUAACCAGAGAGAGGUAGAGCGCAGAAACAGCCAGACAUCUGAGCUCACUGAUACAGUCCUGAGACCAAGUGAAGGCACUUUGAGAACUCGAACUGGAAGAGUUGUGAAGCCUGUCAGAAGACUUUUAGAGUCAAUGAGUCAAGUGAUUGCUGAGCCGGACAAAAGAGAGCAUCUAGCCGCCCUGAUUCAAGCCUUAUCAACUUUUGUUGAAGUGACAGUACCCCAGUGACACAGAAGCCAGAAGAUAGAUUAAGGAAAUGAGAAAUACUUUAUUAGGGGGUCAUAGGUUGUAUGUAUAUGGGCAUAUUUCUACCUGGCAAAGUCUCUUUGCUGUCCUUCUGGACGACUCUUGGUCAAGGUUACCCCUGUGGAGGAAGAAGUCUUACCUUAUGUCUUAAAGUUUGCUGAAAUCAAGAAGGGGUGAGUGUAGUAGAGUUAAAAUGGUUAUUCCAGCAAACUUCAAAUUAUUAGAAUAGUACACAACGCAGAACAGAACAAUCAGGUUGAGGGUCAGUGGCCAAAAGCCCGCGAACAGGAAUGUUCCAAGUUCAGACAGAAGGGGGGAGUCAGAUCGCCAGGAACUUUACUUUUGGUUUCUAAUUUUAAUUGUUGCGCUACUGGUGAUGCCUGUUGAUGUUAGGUAGGCAGCUACAGUAGCUGAAUGAUGUUAACAUCUUCAGGUUUUGUUUCAUUAAAUGUAUUUUAUUUUAUCUGGGUGCUUACGUCACCUACUAACACCCUGGUACUACCCAUAGAUCCCGCUCUCCUCAGUCUGAGAAAACACUGAGAGAGAAAGAACAACUUGUCAGGUGGUGCAUUGGAGACUGAUGUGUUCCUGUCCUGUCUUUUCAUAAUACUAUUGCAGAUCGACAUAAAAGCCUAAAAGACAGCCGUGGUGUCGCUCUUCAUUUCUUGGUUCUCCUGUGGUGCAUAAGAAACCCGCUACACAAACAUUGGUCAAACUGCAUCUCAAUCAUUACCCUCACCAUGGCAACAGUCAAGAGACAGAGCAGCAGCUUGCUUGUCAACAGUGGC